GCUUCGCUGUAAGCCGAGAAAAAUACACUCUAUCAAUAUCUAUCUCAGGGUGGAUGGCCGAACGAACCCCUACACAGUUUACAUGCAUUGACAUGUCGCUUCGCAAAACGAGGCCACCCUUAAGCAUUUCUUGCCGCCAAAAUCCUUCUGCGCCACAUACGUAGAAUUCUGGGAUGCGUUGGGAGAACUCUUGGCCAUCCUCACAACUGAUGGUGCACAUUUUGAAGCGACUUCCAGGGCCCCAGUCGGAGCAGUGGCGUUGGCCGCCAAGUGGAGGUGCAGGCAAGGGGCAGAAUUCACCUACAAAAGGUGAUGGGGUCAGUAGUGUAUGGGACAUAACCUGGACGAUUGCAGGCAAAUACCACCUCUGAUCCUUGCUCAAAGCUGGUUGCAAUUUGGUAGCCAUCUGCAGGGCGGCCUGGAUCUUCACAAACUGGGCCUGCAAAACAUGGUUUUGUUCAAAGGUUGGUGGUGCUGCUGACCACUGGCCAUCACUCUUGCAGACAAUAACAGGGUAGCCAGUGCGAAUGUAGCCUGGCUCACACUCGAAGCGCACCACAGUGCCGUAGUUCUUGCCACCACCAUUGAGGAUGGUAUGUAC
rnacentral:lncRNA from 1 species